rnacentral:rRNA from 1 species
GAAUGACUCUCGGCAACGGAUAUCUCGGCUCUCGCAUCGAUGAAGAACGUAGCGAAAUGCGAUACUUGGUGUGAAUUGCAGAAUCCCGUGAACCAUCGAGUCUUUGAACGCAAGUUGCGCCCGAAGCCUUCGGGCCAAGGGCACGUCUGCCUGGGCGUCACACA